rnacentral:rRNA from 1 species
GAUGAACGCUGGCGGCGUGCCUAAUACAUGCAAGUCGAGCGAACAGACGAGGAGCUUGCUCCUCUGACGUUAGCGGCGGACGGGUGAGUAACACGUGGAUAACCUACCUAUAAGACUGGGAUAACUUCGGGAAACCGGAGCUAAUACCGGAUAAUAUAUUGAACCGCAUGGUUCAAUAGUGAAAGAUGGUUUUGCUGUCACUUAUAGAUGGAUCCGCGCCGCAUUAGCUAGUUGGUAAGGUAACGGCUUACCAAGGCAACGAUGCGUAGCCGACCUGAGAGGGUGAUCGGCCACACUGGAACUGAGACACGGUCCAGACUCCUACGGGAGGCAGCAGUAGGGAAUCUUCCGCAAUGGGCGAAAGCCUGACGGAGCAACGCCGCGUGAAUGAUGAAGGUCUUCGGAUCGUAAAACUCUGUUAUUAGGGAAGAACAAAUGUGUAAGUAACUAUGCACGUCUUGACGGUACCUAAUCAGAAAGCCACGGCUAACUACGUG